UCUCUGCUGCUUAAGCCAUUGUCAUAAUCCACCUGUGUGUCAAAUUCAGGGAUUGUGUUAUAAUAUCAUUACAUACACGGAGAUGCCAGAGACUCUGGAAAAAUCUCUUUACUUUGCCAAAGCAAAUAAAUGAAGAAAGUCUCCAAGGACAAGAGCAACACAAUGUUCUUAUGGCACAAGGAUAAUAAUAAUUUUGAAGACCUAAUGCUCACCAAGACACUGAAAACAAGAUCCCAGGCAGAGUUUGAGUUCAUUCAGGAAAUGACAAAACCUGACGCCACUUCUGAGCUGAAAUCACUGGGAGCUGAAAUGAGCUGGGAUAUAUGAGGAUUGCAACUCUGUCCCAAGGCAAAGUCAAACAGCUUAGCUCUGUGUGGGCUUCCCCUUCGACAGAGGAAGAAAGCAGUCCUUUCAGAGCUGAGAAUCAUCCCUUGCUACAUCAGUGGCCAGCAGCACUGUCUCCCAGCAGAUCUGGAUGGGAGAUCCCUGGGUGGUCAGAGUUGGGUCUGUUUUGGAUGGUUGUAUCUCCUUCCACACAACUGCCCUGUAGUCAGAGCAGGCCAAGUCGUGGGCCAUGCUUGGGUGCUCUGUCAAUCAAAUUGCACAUGCAACUCAUAUUUGGACUGAAUCAUCAGUAAAGAUCAGUGUCUAGUUUUACAGAAAAGGUAAUUUUUUUAAAUUAAGAUUUUUUUAUGUGGUCUUUUUUUCUGGCUAAGUUAAUAAAAGGUUUUAGUUGUAUUCCCUUA